rnacentral:rRNA from 1 species
CAGUAGCAGGUAAAGAAACCCCGGCUAACUCCGUGCCAGCAGCCGCGGUAAUACGGAGGGGGUUAGCGUUGUUCGGAAUUACUGGGCGUAAAGCGCGCGUAGGCGGAUUAGAAAGUUGGGGGUGAAAUCCCGAGGCUCAACCUCGGAACUGCCUCCAAAACUGCUAGUCUAGAGUUCGAGAGAGGUGAGUGGAAUUCCGAGUGUAGAGGUGAAAUUCGUAGAUAUUCGGAGGAACACCAGUGGCGAAGGCGGCUCACUGGCUCGAUACUGACGCUGAGGUGCGAAAGUGUGGGGAGCAAACAGGAUUAGAUACCCUGGUAGUCCACACCGUAAACGAUGAAUGCCAGUCGUCGGAUAGUAUACUAUUCGGUGACACACCUAACGGAUUAAGCAUUCCGCCUGGGGAGUACGGUCGCAAGAUUAAAACUCA